rnacentral:rRNA from 1 species
ACACGUGGACAACCUACCCUAUGGAGGGGGAUAACCCCGGGAAACUGGGGAUAAUACCCCAUAGACUAUGGAUGCUGGAAUGCUCUGUAGCCAAAAGGUCAGCCGCCAUAGGAUGGGUCUGCGGCCCGAUUAGGUAGUUGUUGGGGUAACGGCCCAAACAAGCCCUGUAAUCGGUACGGGUUGUGGGGAGCAAGAGCCCGGAGAUGGAUUCUGAGACACGAAUCCAGGCCCUACGGGGCGCAGCAGGCGCGAAAACUUUACAAUGCGGGAAACCGUGAUAAGGGAACUCCGAGUGCCCGUUAAAUCGGGCUGUCCAUCUGUGUAAAUAACAGGUGAAGAAAGGGCCGGGCAAGACCGGUGCCAGCCGCCGCGGUAAUACCGGCGGCUCGAGUGGUGGCCACUAUUACUGGGCUUAAAGCGUUCGUAGCUGGUUUGUUAAGUCUCUGGGGAAAUCUUCCGGCUUAACCGGAAGGCGUCUCAGGGAUACUGGCAGACUAGGGACCGGAAGAGGUGAGGGGUACUCCAGGGGUAGGAGUGAAAUCCUGUAAUCCUUGGGGGACCACCUGUGGCGAAGGCGCCUCACCAGAACGGCUCCGACAGUGAGGGACGAAAGCUGGGGGAGCAAACCGGAUUAGAUACCCGGGUAGUCCCAGCCGUAAACGAUGUGCGUUAGGUGUAUCGGUGACCACGAGUCACCGAGGUGCCGAAGAGAAAUCGUGAA